AUGUAGUAUGACAUGCUCAUUGGAUUUUACUCUAAUGUUGAAUUAAUUAUUAUUUAAUUACUUUUAGAUAACGGAGUGUUACAACUACU
rnacentral:pre_miRNA from 1 species